UUAAGCGACUAAGCGUACACGGUGGAUGCCCUGGCAGUCAGAGGCGAUGAAGGACGUGCUAAUCUGCGAAAAGCGUCGGUAAGGUGAUAUGAACCGUUAUAGCCGGCGAUGUCCGAAUGGGGAAACCCAGUGCAAUUCGUUGCACUAUCGUUAACUGAAUACAUAGGUUAACGAGGCGAACCGGGGGAACUGAAACAUCUAAGUACCCCGAGGAAAAGAAAUCAACCGAGAUUCCCCCAGUAGCGGCGAGCGAACGGGGAGCAGCCCAGAGUCUGAAUCAGCUUGUGUGUUAGUGGAACGGUCUGGAAAGUCCGACGGUACAGGGUGAUAGUCCCGUACACCAAAAUGCACAGGCUGUGAACUCGAAGAGUAGGGCGGGACACGUGGUAUCCUGUCUGAAUAUGGGGGGACCAUCCUCCAAGGCUAAAUACUCCUGACUGACCGAUAGUGAACCAGUACCGUGAGGGAAAGGCGAAAAGAACCCCGGCGAGGGGAGUGAAAAAGAACCUGAAACCGUGUACGUACAAGCAGUGGGAGCACCUUCGGGUGUGACUGCGUACCUUUUGUAUAAUGGGUCAGCGACUUAUAUUCUGUAGCAAGGUUAACCGUAUAGGGGAGCCGCAGGGAAACCGAGUCUUAACUGGGCGUUAAGUUGCAGGGUAUAGACCCGAAACCCGGUGAUCUAGCCAUGGGCAGGUUGAAGGUUGGGUAACACUAACUGGAGGACCGAACCGACUAAUGUUGAAAAAUUAGCGGAUGACUUGUGGCUGGGGGUGAAAGGCCAAUCAAACCGGGAGAUAGCUGGUUCUCCCCGAAAGCUAUUUAGGUAGCGCCUCGUGAACUCAUCUUCGGGGGUAGAGCACUGUUUCGGCUAGGGGGUCAUCCCGACUUACCAACCCGAUGCAAACUACGAAUACCGAAGAAUGUUAUCACGGGAGACACACGGCGGGUGCUAACGUCCGUCGUGAAGAGGGAAACAACCCAGACCGCCAGCUAAGGUCCCAAAGUCAUGGUUAAGUGGGAAACGAUGUGGGAAGGCACAGACAGCCAGGAUGUUGGCUUAGAAGCAGCCAUCAUUUAAAGAAAGCGUAAUAGCUCACUGGUCGAGUCGGCCUGCGCGGAAGAUGUAACGGGGCUAAACCAUGCACCGAAGCUGCGGCAGCGACACUAUGUGUUGUUGGGUAGGGGAGCGUUCUGUAAGCCUGCGAAGGUGACCUGUGAGGGUUGCUGGAGGUAUCAGAAGUGCGAAUGCUGACAUAAGUAACGAUAAAGCGGGUGAAAAGCCCGCUCGCCGGAAGACCAAGGGUUCCUGUCCAACGUUAAUCGGGGCAGGGUGAGUCGACCCCUAAGGCGAGGCCGAAAGGCGUAGUCGAUGGGAAACAGGUUAAUAUUCCUGUACUUGGUGUUACUGCGAAGGGGGGACGGAGAAGGCUAUGUUAGCCGGGCGACGGUUGUCCCGGUUUAAGCAUGUAGGCUGGUUAUCCAGGCAAAUCCGGAUAAUCAAGGCUGAGGUGUGAUGACGAGGCACUACGGUGCUGAAGUAACAAAUGCCCUGCUUCCAGGAAAAGCCUCUAAGCAUCAGGUAACAUCAAAUCGUACCCCAAACCGACACAGGUGGUCAGGUAGAGAAUACCAAGGCGCUUGAGAGAACUCGGGUGAAGGAACUAGGCAAAAUGGUGCCGUAACUUCGGGAGAAGGCACGCUGGUGUGUAGGUGAAGUCCCUGCGGAUGGAGCUGAGACCAGUCGAAGAUACCAGCUGGCUGCAACUGUUUAUUAAAAACACAGCACUGUGCAAACACGAAAGUGGACGUAUACGGUGUGACGCCUGCCCGGUGCCGGAAGGUUAAUUGAUGGGGUUAUCCGUAAGGAGAAGCUCUUGAUCGAAGCCCCGGUAAACGGCGGCCGUAACUAUAACGGUCCUAAGGUAGCGAAAUUCCUUGUCGGGUAAGUUCCGACCUGCACGAAUGGCGUAAUGAUGGCCAGGCUGUCUCCACCCGAGACUCAGUGAAAUUGAACUCGCUGUGAAGAUGCAGUGUACCCGCGGCAAGACGGAAAGACCCCGUGAACCUUUACUAUAGCUUGACACUGAACAUUGAGCCUUGAUGUGUAGGAUAGGUGGGAGGCUUUGAAGCGUGGACGCCAGUCUGCGUGGAGCCAACCUUGAAAUACCACCCUUUAAUGUUUGAUGUUCUAACGUGGGCCCCUAAUCGGGGUUGCGGACAGUGUCUGGUGGGUAGUUUGACUGGGGCGGUCUCCUCCCAAAGCGUAACGGAGGAGCACGAAGGUUAGCUAAUCCUGGUCGGACAUCAGGAGGUUAGUGCAAUGGCAUAAGCUAGCUUGACUGCGAGCGUGACGGCGCGAGCAGGUGCGAAAGCAGGUCAUAGUGAUCCGGUGGUUCUGAAUGGAAGGGCCAUCGCUCAACGGAUAAAAGGUACUCCGGGGAUAACAGGCUGAUACCGCCCAAGAGUUCAUAUCGACGGCGGUGUUUGGCACCUCGAUGUCGGCUCAUCACAUCCUGGGGCUGAAGUAGGUCCCAAGGGUAUGGCUGUUCGCCAUUUAAAGUGGUACGCGAGCUGGGUUUAGAACGUCGUGAGACAGUUCGGUCCCUAUCUGCCGUGGGCGCUGGAGAAUUGAGGGGGGCUGCUCCUAGUACGAGAGGACCGGAGUGGACGCAUCACUGGUGUUCGGGUUGUCAUGCCAAUGGCACUGCCCGGUAGCUAAAUGCGGAAGAGAUAAGUGCUGAAAGCAUCUAAGCACGAAACUUGCCCCGAGAUGAGUUCUCCCUGAGACUUUAAGUCUCCUGAAGGAACGUUGAAGACGACGACGUUGAUAGGCCGGGUGUGUAAGCGCAGCGAUGCGUUGAGCUAACCGGUACUAAUGAACCGUGAGGCUUAACCU
rnacentral:rRNA from 1 species